rnacentral:lncRNA from 1 species
UUAAUAUUAUAUUCGAAUAGUAAAAUUCACUCAUAUAAUUGAUAAUAUAAUAGAUUAAUUAAAAAAUGGUUAAAUACUAAAUCUGAGAGAUAUCAUGUUAUUUGUGUCAAAAAUUUAAUUUUAAAGGGAAUCUUAAUAUUAGUUUAAAAAAUAAAGGAAGUCAAUGAUAUAUCAAAAACUACAGAAAACCCAAAAUCCAUGGGUGAACUUGAAAACCCCAUCAGUGAAGAAAAUCAACUCCAAUCGGUUGAAACAGAAGUUCUACCAAAGCAGAAGCAUCAGAUUGAUAAGUCCAACUAGUAGAACACUUGUUCUACCGAUAGAGCCAGAGCAAGGCAUAAAUAAAAGGAACAAUCCCUCGACGGAUUGAGCCUUUUUUCUAUACCGGUUUAGCCUGAAAACCCCAGUCAUGAAUGAAUUGUUCAACCGGUUGGGACUUUGGUUCUACCAGUUGAAAAGUCUGCUGAUGCAUAAAUUCAACAUUGUAUGAAGUAUAAUAUUUAAUUUGUAUUAUGUGUAGAUGUAGGUUAAAAAAGACUAAUGGAAUUGUCUAUGAUAUACACUAUGGUCCCUAAAGCAUUCGUCUCGUGUUACUUUGGAUCCCAAACUAUUGAUUUUUUAAAUUUCAUCCCUAAACACUGUAAAGCUCUGUUUGGAUGAAGAAAACUUAAAAUUUAAUUGAGAACUUAUCACUAAUAAUUUAUUAUCUCGUACUACUUAAGGUAGUCUCAUUCAACUAUUUGAAUGAUUUAGAAAUAUUUUUAAAAUUUUUCAAAAAAUGGAAUCAUAACAUCAUGGAUUAUAUUUUUAUUUUCCUUUGAAAUUCCUUUCAUUCAAACAUUUCCCUACAAUAUUAGAGAAUAGAGUUGACAAAAUUCAGAAAUUUUGGAAUCUAAGUGACAUAAAACACAUAUUUUCAGGAUCAUUGGUGUAUGAUAUAAGUAUUGCCAUUUAGCUAUUUUGACAGUCGUUGUCCAAUUUGAAAAUUUUAAAAAUGAAAUUGACAAUUGAAAUUUGGAGGACUAAAGUGACACAAAAUGCGUACUUUAAGGACUAUUUUGGGUAUUUUAACUAAAUUUAUUUCUUCUAUUUUUCUAAAGUUUCUUUUCCUUUGUAAUCACUUUCCAUUUUCCAAAUCUAUUAUCCAAAUAAAUUUUAUUUUCUUAACCAAAUUGCUUUUGUGGUCCAAGUUGAAAGGGCCUUUCAAUCAUUUCAGUAUCUCAUAUCCCUAGCUGCUUUGCUUUAUAGUCUACUAGUUUUUGGGGGCCUUAUGAAAUCAAGUUUUCAACAGGCCUGUUGCCUAUGUAAAGGUAGCCCAAUAUGAUCAUUCCCAGCUAGCAUUGUUGCUUAACUACGACAAAUUUAUGACAAACCCCAAACGGCCGGAUCGGCCAGACUCGUCAAGUUUGAACGGAAUUGUCAUUCCUAGUCGCAAGAAGCUUUUAUUGACAUGUGGGAGCUGAUCAACUAUGUUCCAUUUUAUUUAAAAUUUUUAAUUUUUCCACUCAACAAUUACCAGUUUGAAAAAAAACAAUUCAAAUCCUCGUACAAGAUAGUAAUGCGCACAUGGAGAAAUUAUUUAGUGCUCUUGUAGCCAAUUCUAGUAAUGCUCUAACUUUAUAGUAAUUGGUUUAAACAAUGGGAUUUACUGGUUUUUUUGUUUGGGUUGUGCCCAAUAUGUAUACGUAUGUCAUUUAUUCCCUGAUGUAGAGCAUUGCUUCAAGAGCACAAAUAAUCUCUCGUGCACGUGUCUGAAGUAGCAGCUAUGCAUAAUACAAAUUGGAUUGCUCAUUUUACCAUUUUAGUUAUUGAUAGAGUUGUUAUUUGUGGCAUGGCUUAAAAAAAAGUAUACACAAAACAGUUAACAAAUACCCGACGAAGGCUGGCUUGUUUGAGCCUGAAGUUCGGUCUGAAUUUCGCGUCUAGCCUAGCCCAGGCCGUCCAACCUAAUCAAAAAUUCAAAAAAUUCCGGGCUGAGCGACCUAAAUUGCACAUAAAUUUCGAGUCAAGCUCAGCCUAACCAAAAAUAUUCCAAAAAAAAAAACGCGACUGUUCUUGCCACUCCAAUCAGCAACGAACUGGCCGGAUUCGAAUAUUAGGUUGGGACACAAAAGUUCACCCGCCAACUAACGCGGCUGGACUCACCCAAUAAUGCCCUGCCCAAACGCAUACCAAAAACCGACUAAACCGAUCCAAGCCCAAAUCUAACCCAAUUUCCCUCUACAUGGCUAGUGAAAUCAAUAAUGGUACAGGGCAGCUACACUAAUUUUCUUUGCAUCAGGUCUUGUCUAUGUAAAAGUUUUAAAAGUAAGCCCAUUUCUAACCAUUCGGCCCAUUCCCAGCCAGCAACGGUGAACAAAUAGCACUAUGGUUAAAAUACAAAAAUAGUCCAUAAAGUAUGUCAUCUAUGUCAUGUUGAUCCUCAAAGUUUUAAUAUUAUCCAUUCCGUCCUUAAAAUUUAUCAAAUUCAAUAAAAGUGGUCCAAUUUCAUAGUGCAUAAAAAAUACUAAUGGAAUUGUCUAUGAUAUACAACAACCGUCUCUAAAGCAUUCAUCUCAUGGUACUUUGGAUCCCAAACUAUUAAUUUUGUAAAUUCCAUCCCUAAACACUGUAAAGCUCUUUGGAUGAAGAAAACUUAAAAUUUAAUUGAGAACUUAUCAAUAAUAAUUUAUUAUCUCGUACUACUACGUAGGGUAGUCUCAUUCAAGUGUUUGAAUGAUUUAGAAAUAUUUUUAAAAUUAUUCAAAAAACGGAAUCAUGAUAUCAGGGAUUACAUUUUUAUUUUUCUUUGAAAUUCAAACAUUUCUCUACAAUAUUAGAGAAUGGAGUUGAGAAAAUUCAAAAAUUUUGGAAUCUAAGUGACAUAAAACACAUAUUUUCAGGAUCAUUGGUGUCUGAUAUAAGUAUUGUCGUUUAGCUAUUUUGAUGGUCGUUUGUAAUUGGAUAAAUUUAAUUCAAUUUGAAAAUUUUAAAAAUGAAAUUGACAAUUGAAAUUUUAAGGACUAAAGUGAUACAAAAUGCAUAAUUUAAGGACUAUUUUGUGGGCUGGGAAUGAUUCGAAUUGGGCUAACUUUACAAAGACAGGGCUGUCGAAAAUUGGAUUUCAUAAGGCCCAUAAGAAACUAGCGGACUAUAAAGCAGAGAAGCUAGGGAUAUGAGGUACUGAUCUGAUUAAAAGGACCACAAAAGCAAUUUGGGAAGUGAAAUCGCAAAGGAAAAGAAACUUUAGAAAAAUAAAUGAAAUAAAUUUAGGGUGUUGUUUAACUACGACAAAUUCAUGACAAACGCCAAACGGCCGGAUCGGCCAGGCUCGUCAGGUUUGAACGGAAUUGUCAUUCUUAGUUGCAAGAAGCUUUUAUUUACAUGUGGGAGCUGAUCAACUAUUUCUCCUUUUAUUUGGAUUUUUCAAUAUUUGCAACAAGCAAUUAACAAGUUUAAAAGAACUAAUUCAAAUCGUUGUACAAGAAAGUAAUGCGCACAUGGAGAAAUUAUUUAGUACUAUUGGAGUCAAUGUUAGUGGUGCUCUAACAUUAAAGUGAAUGAUCUAAACAGUGAAAUUUACUAUAUUUUUGUUCGGAUUGCGCCCAAUAUAUAUACGCAUACUAUUUAUUCACUGGUGUAGAGUAUUGCUCCAAGAACACAAAUAAUCUGUCGCGUACAUGUGUGAAGUAGCGGCCAUGCAUAAUACAAACUAGACUCUUGGCAUAUGCAAUGCGUGUGCAAAAAUCACAAAACUGUCAUGUGUGGAGAAAGUGGGUACUUACUUGUAAAUUAAAAAUAAUUAUUUGGAUCACUCAUUUUACCAUUUUAGUUACCAAUAAAAUUGUGAUUUGCGAACACGGCUUAAAAAAAAAUUCUACACAAAAAAAUUAACAAAUAUCCUAGGCGUUGUUGUCUUUAUAUAAUAAUAUAGAUGUAACAAAACCACUGUCAGUGUAUAUAUACAUAUACAUAUAUAUCAUUGUGAGGUAGGGAUGGAAAAAAAAAAUGUGGCGCGGGGCGGGGCCGGAGGUUGUUGUCACGUUCCCCGAUCCCCGAAUUAUUUUCAGGUCCCCCGUCCCCGCCCCGAUCCCCGGCGGGGAUUUUUUUAUACCCCCAUCCCCGAACUAACGGGACGGGAUCCCGCCCUGCAAUCCGAACCCCGCAACAAAACUCACAGGUUGUGCGCGUGUGUUUGUGAGAGAGAGAGAGGGAGUAAACCUGAGAGGAUGAGAUAGUUGUCCAAAGUGGGAGAAGAAAGGGGAAUGAGGGAGUCCACCCACACAUUCGUCCUCGUUGACGUCGUCGGCCGUCGUCCUUGCCGUCGUCCCGUCAUCGCCGUCGUCCUUGUCAUCGUCGUCAUCGUACCUCGUCAUCGUACGGAGUCAUCGUCGGAGUCCCACACAAGGUGCGAAGUUCGGCGGAUUCGGGACUCGCGACCCAGGCGUACCCGUCUCUCACUCUCAUCUUUUCUAAGAAUGUGUUGGUGUGAAAGUGUGUGUUGCUGGAAGUGUGUGUGCCCCUAGGCUUCCAACCUGUAAAGUAAUUAUAGGGUAAAUUACACUGACCUCCCUGAAGAUUUUAAUAAUGACAGGAACUCCAUCUAAUUUUAAUUAAAUGACACUGACCUCCCUUUACUUUAAAAUAAAUAUAAUUCGGGGAACGGGGAAAGGGGAUCGGGGCGGGAUUACAAAACCGUCCCGCCCCGAUCCCCGAAUUUUUUUUUUAAAUUCCCCGAUCCCCGAAAAAUCCCGAAUAUCACCACGAUCGGGGCGGGGAGCGGGCGGGCGGGGCAAAUGACCCAAUAACCCACUCCCCCCCCUCGGUGCUUGUGUGAAACAUGGUGAUGUGUUCAAAAAUACCCAAUACCGUCGCGCGCUACUCAUUCAGACACUCACCACCAACGCACAUUUUUAGCUAUCCCUCUAGUAAUUAUUUUUGGACCUAUUUCUAUUUUGUUCCCAAUGUAUUUGUGUGGCACAUUUUAGUCUCAAAACAGUGUCAAUGUAUCAAUUAGUCCAAACGCCGUGUGUGGUGUCGAGCCCCGUGCACAUGUGGGUGUCCCUGUACCUCCACUGACCCCACCACCCUGUGUGCUGUCCACACGUAAAUUGGUGAGAAAGGCAGUUCUACGACUGCAAAUCAUAAAUGGUCCCCACUGCAGCCCGGCCACCCCACAUUCUCAAUACACCAAAUCCUACAUUUAGGACUCCCAAUUUCAUCUCAGACUUCUCAAUACACCCAGUUCUUUCAAUUUCAGUGGUAUCUUCCUCCCAACUCUAACCCUUCAGAUUUGAACUCUCAUUACAAAUUCACUUAAAAAGAAAAUGGAACGACUACAGAAAACAUUUCAAAAAAUAGUAUAUAUAGUACAUUUAAUUAAAAUAUUACCACUUGAGUUGUAGCAUUGAUCACAACAGAUCGCACAAAAAAAUUAAAAAAAAAUUCUUUAUAAUAAAGGUCGUAACAUUUCACCACAAUGAUGCGUAAUAAUUUUCAUAAGUAUUUUUUAGUAUACCUACUUUCGUAACAUUCGGUACAACUGAUCGUAACAUUUUAGAAUACACAAUAUCUAAUAUAGAUUUUGCCAAUAGAAAAUUGAGUUUUCAUUAACUUUAACAACGUGAAAUUUAUGACCAUAUAUUAUAUAUAUUUAUUAAUGAAAGAUUUUGAAUUACAAUCCAACAAGUAUCAAGCAAUCUAAGUUCCAUUUAUGGCAGGUCGCUAUCCAUAUUGUUCAAUCAUUAAAGACAAUAUGUGUGAGGGUUUAGACGACAAAUUAUUGUUAAAAGUGCUAUUGAUUGCAAAAAGAUAGAGUAAAUUUCACUGAACUCCUUGAAAUUUCUGAUAAAUAUAGUUAAAUUUCUUGUCGUUUUUGAAAUAAUAUUGAUAUUCCUUAAUUUUGAUAUUAAUUUUAUUUUUUAAAAUGACAAGAUUGUCCUUAUUUUUAGGGUUUUAAUUAAAAUUAUUAGAUAUUAUUUUUUUCUCGAAACAUAUUUAUUCAAUUUUUGUUAUAAAAUUAAUUAUUUUUUCCAAGUUAUUAUUUUAUUUUGUAAUAAAUACUAAAAAACUUUUUGUAAUACAUGAUCAAUUUUUUUUAACAAAAAAUUAUAGCAAAUUUUAUUUUUUAAGGAGCACUUAAAAACUAAACUCUUUAGAUCAAUUUUUUAUAAAUAUUUUUUAAAUAUUUUACAAUCUAAAUUAGUUUUUGGACACAAAGUUUUUAAAAUUAUCAAAAAUAAUUUAAAUUAAAAAAUACAGACGAUUUUUUAAGAUGUCCUGAAUAGUGGAGAUUGACAAACUAAUUGAGACGGAAUAAGUAGAAUAUAAGGAGGAUUGUUUCCAUUUUUUAUGAUUUUUUUGUCAAGAUUUAAUACUUUUUUAAUUAAAAUAAAUAAAUAAAAAUUCAAUAAAUUUUAAAUUAAUCCAAUUUAAAAAGAAUCUUUUGAAUUAAGUUGUAUACUUGCAUCACUUUGAUUCGUUCUGUUUACGUUUGCUCCAGUUUUGAGUCUUCAAUGAGUUGGAGUUUUUCCAACAAUGGUCAAGGAGGAUAAUUAUUUAUUAGAAAAGUUAUCAGCAUACAAAAUUGUACAUAUAUUUGUAAAAAAUCUCUACAUGAGGUGUGUAAAUUGAUAACCAAAUUCUUGGCCAACCGGUUAAAUUCUUUUUUUCCUAACCGGUUGAACUUGGUGAAUUAAGCUACUAAUCUUGGCUAACCGAUUAAACUAUUUUUUCCCAACCAAUUGAACUUGGUGAAAUAGGCUACCGAUCUUGGCCAACCGGUUGAACUGUUUUUUUUCAACCGGUGAACUGAACAGACCACAACUUUUAAUACUCUGAACCUCCACUGCUGGUACAGUUCUCCUGCCAUCCACCCCCAACCCCCCCCCGCCCCAAAAAAAAAAAAAAAAAAAGCCCCCCCACCCCCCCCCCCCCCCCCCCCAAAGAAAAACCCCGGGGGCCGGAGAGAAACCCCCCCCCCCCCCCCCCCCCCGCCCCCGCAUACUUCUUUACCGAAAACAUUUAAGUAAUCUUUUGUUUUUACAAUCUAAUAAGAAAAUACCCCCCAUUUUGGAUCAAUAAAAAUACUAAAAUAUAAUCCUAUUAAAUCAAAAAGUAAAUUUUCAGUUUAGUACAAAAAUGAUUUCGAUAAUUAUUUUUCAAUGAUUCUUUCUGAUUAGAAGGUAUACCUUGGAAUAAAAAUUUCAAAAAAUCAGUUUUGAAUAUUUAAAAUAUAAGGAACAAUUACUAGAAAAAUGAUUUGAAGAAAAUCAUAUUUUGAAAAUUCACUUUUUCAUAGUUAACCAAAUUUUGACAAAACACAGUUUUUUUAAAAAAAAUUGUCUUUUGUGAUGAUACCUUAUACUAGUUCUAUCCUUAGACUUGACAUACUAAACGAUAGCGUCUAAGUCAAUAGAGUAGAGUAUGCAAUGGAUUGGGGAUAUUAAAUUCGAAAUUAUUGACUAUAGGACCAAGACUCGAGGGGCCGUUGCCUUAGUUUAGAAACAAGUGCGUGUGAAACGCAUGGUUAAGUACGAGAUGAAUCUCGUUAUAUUUUAUAUUGCAUAAAAGUAACAUAUUUUGUGUUUUAUAAAUGGAAGUAUGACUUGUGUUUAAAACUAUAUGUUUUAUGUUAAAAGUAUACUUAUUUUGUUAUACCAGAAAUUAUGAAAACAAUACUUGGUACAGCAAAGUAUGUUUAAGAGACGUCUCCUCCUCUUUCAUACGAUCCCCCCCCCGGGGAGGGAGGCGUGGGGGAGGAGAAUCGGCCCCAGGCUUUUUCCUCUGUGGUCUCCUCUCCCUCUUUUCUUUCCUCGCCGGCGUUCUUCCCCCGCUCCUUGUGUGGAUGUCUUCCUACCCAACACCAAAAGUUAGGGUCCUUCCCUAUGACUGGUGUUCGUUGAACGGUUUAUGUUUCGCAAUUGUUUCAAUCGUAAAUGAAUUUAAAGCUUGACAUAUAAGUCAAAGGAUUAGUUGGCGUACGAGGUCAUGAUUAUAUUUUGUGUUUUGACAGAUAGUCAGGGAUGGCGUAUUUAAUCCAUGAUUCUUGUGAUAAUUGUUAUACAUGAUCUUAAACAGGUAGUUUCACUGGUUGGGGGGCCUUACUUGAGCCAUGGUUGACAAAAAGUGAUUUCAUCUUUUUGAAAUGAACCUGAUUUUCAUAUGUUUUUCAUUGGUUGCAUGUAAUGUUUUAUAUCACUUGCCCUCACACUAAGCUAGUGUCUCUAAGAAGUUGUCGAGUUUAACUCAUUUCAGGUAUAGAAAAUGAGGAAGGACAUGGUUAGAGGGCGGGUGCCCUAGCGUGCUGAUUUUUUAUGUUUUGAACUAUGUAUAGUUUUGAAACUUGUAUAGUUAAACUGAUACAAUAGUUGUUGACGAUUGUGCCUGUUUUUGGCCAAAACCAUAUUGAUUUUUGUGUAUUAAAAUCAUGUUGAUAGUUUUAUAUAUUUACAUUCAGUUGAAAUGUCAACUCUGAUUUUUACUGGAUGUUUUCGCAUGUAUUUUAUUCAAGUAAUGUAUGUUGAAUGAUGUUAGUAAAUUCCUAAACUGAAUUAAUUAGAAAGGCCUUAGUGAGAUGUGAUUUCACUGGCCAAUCACGUGGCACCUGUAUGAUUGGUGUGACCCAGUGUAUAACGGGUCGGGUCGUAACACAAACCUUGGUUUAUCACACAUUCAAAUUCAUAAAUGAGAACUCAACAUGUGCUUUUUGCAGCUUUUUACUGUGUUGAACUCGAAUGUGAUUGGUUUGCGUUUGUGAAGUUCAGGAUGUAGAUUGCACUGAUGCUUGUUGGAGGAUAAAAUGUAUUUUCUUCAUUUUUGAUCAAGUUUGGGUGAGCACUGUUGUUGGACUGUUGCUUUAUAGCAAGUUCGGUCGGCAUAUUCACUCCAAAGCUUAGUCAAUUAACUUGAUCGAACGGAAAUUCCCAAGGCACGUCAGGAUCAAAGGGUAGCGUACACGGCAAGUUUACUCUACUACCUGCAAACUCCGAUAAUGCAAAAUGCUAACUACCAGUUAUACCCUAAGGGUAUGAUUGCGUUAGCUGCUUAUUCGUUGACAUGACAGUCAGCGCGUCCACACACUAUCUGAGCUGCAUUUUGAAAGGGCAGACCUUUUCUCUCUCAUGGCUACGCAAUUCUGUCUCUCUCUAAAACCAGAGCCAAUAACUUAUAUCUUGCUCUCUCCUCUUUUUCGAUCACUAACUUAAUCGUCGGAGAACUGUCUUCGGAAUAGCUCCGGAUAAUCUUUCUCACUGUUUCUGUCUUGUAGGCCCCCCAUCCGGUGAUUUGCAGUCAAAAACAGCUUGUCAGUCACCGUUAGUGUCUACGUUUGAUUUUUUGUCAUUCUCACAACCCCAUACUGCCCAAACUUUUUGGGUCACAUUUUGAACUUAUUUUGAUAAUUCAAACUAUAUCUAUUAAAUGUUAUUUUAUAACUUAAUAAAUGAAUGCGAUAUAUAGGAUUAUACCCAAUUAUCUUGAUAUAACCUGAUAUUGAUUGACUAUUGAAGUAUUAAAGUUCUCAAUCAACAUAAUUUUUUACAGUAUUAAAACUCUCCAUGAGUUCUAGAAUAUAAACGAGUUGAAUUAUUAAAAUAAAUCAAAAAUACUUAAAUUACACCGGUACAGUCCAAAAUGUACUAUAGAGAAUUGAAGCUUGAUUCUUUCAGAAAAGAUGCCUGCACAAAAACUAUACACGAAUUAUUCAUAGAAAAUUUCUAUAAUGUAAAUGCCAAGACGUCUAUGUCUGCACUUGAUCUGUGCGUGUAGAAGUGUGGGAUUGGUUGAUAUAACAAUUCGUUUUUGUUUAUAUUAUAUGAAGUUACAAAAAUACACGUAACGCUCUAUUGACAAAUACUUACAUUUUGCUUCUUUUUCGUGGGAGAGGGGCAAUUUAGACAUUUGGACACUAGGGACAAAAAUGAAGAAAAGUAAAGCACGAAGGAAGCAUGAAACAACCAUAUCAACAGAAUCCAGAUACGCUGAAGUAUAUUGUAGUUGGAGUAGAAAUAAGACAUAGGUG